UUUCCGUAGGUGAGCCUGCGGAAGGAUCAUUCAUAAUAAAGUGUUUUAUGGCACUUUUUAAAAAUCCAUAUCCACCUUGUGUGCAAUGUUAGAUCUCGUCAAUCUUGGCGAGAUUUUUAUAUAUCAACUCAUUCUUUAACUAAUUUGUCUGAAAAAUAUUAUGAAUACUUAAUUCAAAAUACAACUUUCAACAACGGAUCUCUUGGCUCUC
rnacentral:misc_RNA from 1 species